rnacentral:rRNA from 1 species
UUUCUAGUGGCGGACGGGUGAGUAACGCGUGGGUAACCUGCCUUAUACUGGGGGAUAACAGCCAGAAAUGACUGCUAAUACCGCAUAAGCGCACAGAACCGCAUGGUUCGGUGUGAAAAACUCCGGUGGUAUAAGAUGGACCCGCGUUGGAUUAGCUAGUUGGCAGGGCAGCGGCCUACCAAGGCGACGAUCCAUAGCCGGCCU